rnacentral:lncRNA from 1 species
CCAAAAGCUUACCACAAUGUGAAUGCCGCAACGAAAACACCCCGCUCCAACGGGCGCACGAAAGCUCGAUCCGUCGCUCCCAACGCGUUCGCGAGCAUCUUCUCCACCAACGCCGCGAAUUUGAGCGUGAGAUAUGGAGAGAUGAGAGAGAAAUCUAGAGAGAGGAAUGAAGGUUUCUCUCACUAGCACCAUGCGUGCGUGUGUGUGUGCUCGGGCUGAAGGAGAGGAAGAAGAAGCAUCAGCUUCUUUAUAAUGCACCCCAAGGCACUACUCACUUCAGGCAGUUUUAGCAGUUCGGAACAGUUGGAGCCCUUCUGAAUAUCCGUUUGAGCUCAAAUUUGACAGGCAGACUCAGUUCAACGUACUGAGUAAGAAUAUAUCUUAAGUUUUCAGUUUCGACCUCGUUUGGCCACUGAAAACUGCACCGGACUGUAAUCUUUAUCAGAUAGCUGUUGGAUUUUAUUUCUCACUCUACGGGCGUUAAAAAAAUAUGAAACUUGAAAUCUAGCCUCAUAAAAAUAUUUCUGACUUAUCCUCCAAUUUUCAUAAUUUUCUAAGACUGUGUGUUUUCUGCUAAUUUAUCUGUCCCGUUUCCAACAGAAAAUUCUAGAUCUUCUAUUUUCAUUCCGAUUUCAGCACAAGUCAAUUCUAACUUAUGUUUUACUUCUAUAAAUCCAAUAAAAAUAGUUUCUCAUACUAUUUUUAUUUAUUUUUAUUUUUAUACCAAAAUCUGGUAUGUUACAUUCUCUACCCCUCAAAAGAAUUUCGUCCGCGAAAUUCAAACAAUGCCUCAAUUCAGCUUCUCGAGCAAUUGAGGGUACCAACUCAUUCUUCCACUCCAGAGCGGCUCCACACCAUCGUGUUUUGAGAAGCGGCUCAUUCUAAAGGACAUGGGUUUAAUAUUAAACACAUUUGCAAAAUGUGAUACAAAAGUGCAUCACGGGUCUUGCAAGUCAUAAAGGCAGCGCAAGUCGAUGCUCGACAACUCUACGCGCUCCAACACCACUCGCCAUUCGGUACAUAAAGAACUCUUUUUUGCACUGGCCUUCCCUUUUGGGAAUACAUUCCAAUUCGAUCACCGACAUUGCUUAGAAGCAAUAUCGCCGGUACAUCGCUCCAUCGUGAGUGCUCUAAUUUGGCACUGACCCUAAACGUUAACGUGAGAUGGCCUAUCUUAGCACAUCCCCAAUUCCAAUCCUCCAAGUCCACGUGGCUUACUACUCGCUCAAGGUCUCACCAAGAGCACUUCAUCUUCUGAUACCAUAUGCCACAGUCAACAUCGAACUACUUUCGCAACAAGCUCACGCGAGCGCUUCGUUCAUAAAUUCGAGUCAA